GUUUAUGUAGCUUAACUUAAAGCACAGCACUGAAGAUGCUAAGACGAAAAAUAAUGCGUUCCAUAAACA
rnacentral:tRNA from 1 species